AUGGCGGAGUACGACGAGCAGGGCAUGGCCAUCGCGGCCGCCGAGAUACUUCUCAGCCUCCGGAGCAGGAAGCUGGCGCGGUGGCCGGACUGGGUUCCGCGCCCGUCCAGCGACCCCGCCGCGGAUCUCCAGCGGCCGGAGGAGGCGGAGGACGAGCUGCCGCCGAUUCCGGAGCGAUGGCCGAAGCGGCCGCGGUUGCCGCCCCGUGCGGUGGCGAAAGGAACCGCGUGGCUGCUGUCAUGGGAGAGUCCCUUUGCGCGGCUGGGGGAGCAUCUUGUCGCCAGAUCCGGUGCGUGCUCCAGCGGGGACGAGAGGGCGCGGUCGCACCCGCGCGUCACGAAGGUGAAGCGCGAACCUUUGGCGGCGCGGAGGCCGGAGACACCGCCGUACUACGUCUCGGCCGCCGGAUCCGGCCCUUCCACCAGCGGCAUGGACAGGGCGCGGUCGCGGCGGCGGCAGCGCGUGAGCGAGAAGGCGCAGGCGACGGCGGCCGCGUGGACUGACGCCGCCAUGGCGGCAUCGAGCCCGGAGACGCCCUUCGACUACGCCAACGCCGCUGGAUCAGGGGCGUCCUCGAGCGGGGACGAGGUGGCGCGGUCGACGGCGAAGCGCAAGGCGCAGGGGUCGGGCGGAUCCGGAGUUCCUUCUAGCGGCGACGAGGGGUGCAGCUCGCCGGCGAAGCGCGCGCGGGCGGACAUCUCCAUCGCCGUCGCCGUCCAACCCAAGGCAGGCGCGGUUAAACUUGAGGAUCAAAAGAUCGAGAACAAUUACCGGGACGAGAAGGGCCACUUGAUGUUUGACCUCAACGAAGAUCCAAGCAUGGCGGAGGAAUGGUGA
rnacentral:rRNA from 1 species